rnacentral:rRNA from 1 species
UACGUAGGGUGCGAGCGUUAAUCGGAAUUACUGGGCGUAAAGCGUGCGCAGGCGGUUAUGUAAGACAGGUGUGAAAUCCCCGGGCUUAACCUGGGAACUGCGCUUCUAACUGGCAGGCUUGAGUGUGGCAGAGGGGGGUGGAAUUCCACGUGUAGCAGUGAAAUGCGUAGAGAUGUGGAGGAACACCGAUGGCGAAGGCAGCCCCCUGGGCUAACACUGACGCUCAUGCACGAAAGCGUGGGGAGCAAACAGG